GGAGACAUUUAAGAUGUAUAAUAUACCAGGUGUUUUGUUUUUUAUCAAGAUAUGUAAAAUUACACUCUGACCUUGCAAUUUUUGUCAAGGAAAUAUAUAUCAUUAUAGUCAAAAGAUGGCUGCCUGGUCGUGCGGUAUGCGUGCUGGACUAUCAUUCAGGUCUCGAUGAUCCCGGUAUAUACCCUGCCCGCUGCCAACCCCCGUCAUCAUGCAGGAGAUUUGGACUAGGAAGUAGAUUAUCUUCAACUCUGAAGAUAAUCUGAAACAUUUUACAAAACAUUUUUUAACCAGAGAAAGAGAAGGGGAUAUACAAAGCUCAAGGUUUUUGAGUGCUCUAAGUUUUAGACCUGUCUAUCAGGUCCCAAAGUGUUUUUUUUUUUAAAAUUAUUGAGUCUAUAUUUCUUAAUGACAACUCCACAAUGAAUUGUAUUCUUGAACUUUUGUAUUUAAUUAGAAUAUUGUUUUGUUUCAGUAUGACACAAGACCUAAUCAUUGUUGAUGCCCGGUACAAGAUGUCUCUUAUGUGUUCCAUGCAUUUGUUUGCCUUAAUGAGCUGCAACACCAUUUGACUCUUUGACUAAAGCGCAGUCAUACCAAUGUUAACCAAACAAAAGUGUAUUUUUCUAUAGACAUGGAGGCCUAAUUAUUUUACUUUCUAUUUUUAUUCUAUGUAAUCUCUAAUUUAAUUUUAAUUUUUUCAUUGUUUCUUUCAUGUUUUUUAUGUCUGCAAAAAUUUACUAUGAAUGGUUUUCAUUGGUUCUUACGCUGAUAUAUUAUAUUUUUUGUG